GGCAGAUCCCGUAAGUCGGGCGGCCGCGUAGUCGCUGUAGCCUCCGCUGCCGCAGCCACAUUCAACAGGCAGCAGCGCCGUGGUCGCGCCGCCGAGGAGAGCGAGCAGCCCGCGGCGCCCGUCAGUUGUCCAGUCCGCGGGCUUUGUCAGCAGGAGCGCGGCGCCGGUGCUGCCCGAGCCCGGCGACUCUGGCCUGCCGUCCCGUCGGUGCAGCGGACCCGGAGGAGUCUAGUUGUUGAUGGACUCGUGAAGUUAAGUUCUGGGCUCGCGCUUCCACUUCGCUGCGCCUUUCUCGCGGUUUCCGUCCGCUCGCGGCACCGACCUCGCCCCCAAUCUCGGACCAGCUCUUCGCGCCCCUCCCCCCUGGACCCCGGUCCUGCGCUCUACCCCUUCUUGGUUCUCCCCGGCUGGGGGAGGGGCGGGGGUCACCAUGGCCGAAGCGCCCCAGGUGGUGGAGAUUGAUCCGGACUUCGAGCCGCUGCCGCGGCCACGUUCGUGCACCUGGCCGCUGCCCAGGCCGGAAUUUAGCCAGUCCAACUCGGCCACCUCCAGCCCGGCGCCGUCGGGCAGCGCGGCCGCGAGCUCCGACGCCGCCGCGGGCCUGCCCUCGGCGGCCGCUGUCAACGCCGACUUCAUGAGCAACCUGAGCCUGCUGGAGGAGAGCGGGGACUUCCAGCAGGCGCCUGGCUCUGUGGCGGCGGCCGCGGCGGCGGCCGCGGUGGCGGCGGCGGCCGCCGCAGCGGCUGCCACCGGGGGGCUGUGCGGGGACUUCCAGGGCCCGGAGGCGGGCUGCCUACACCCGGGGCCGCCGCAGCCCCCGCCUCCCGGGCCGCUGUCUCAGCACCCGCCUGUGCCCCCCGCCGCUGCCGGGCCGCUGGCUGGGCAGCCGCGCAAGAGCAGCUCGUCCCGGCGCAACGCGUGGGGCAACUUGUCCUACGCGGACCUCAUCACCAAAGCCAUCGAGAGCUCGGCCGAGAAGCGGCUCACGCUGUCGCAGAUCUACGAGUGGAUGGUCAAGAGUGUGCCCUACUUCAAGGAUAAGGGCGACAGCAACAGUUCGGCGGGCUGGAAGAAUUCAAUUCGUCAUAAUCUGUCCCUGCACAGCAAGUUCAUCCGUGUGCAAAAUGAAGGAACUGGAAAAAGUUCUUGGUGGAUGCUCAACCCAGAAGGAGGCAAGAGUGGAAAAUCCCCCAGGAGAAGAGCUGCAUCCAUGGACAACAACAGUAAAUUUUCCAAGAGCCGCGGCCGAGCCGCCAAGAAAAAAGCAUCCCUCCAGUCUGGUCCAGAGGGUGCCGGGGACAGCCCAGGGUCUCAAUUCUCCAAGUGGCCUGCCAGCCCUGGCUCUCACAGCAAUGACGACUUUGAUAACUGGAACACAUUUCGCCCUCGAACUAGCUCAAAUGCUAGUACUAUUAGUGGGAGACUUUCUCCCAUUAUGACCGAACAGGAUGAUCUUGGAGAUGGCGAUGUGCAUUCAAUGGUGUACCCACCCUCCGCUGCAAAGAUGGCUUCUACUCUGCCCAGUCUGUCAGAGAUAAGCAAUCCCGAAAACAUGGAAAACCUUUUGGAUAAUCUCAACCUCCUGUCAUCACCACCGUCAUUAACUGUUUCAACCCAAUCUUCACCUGGUGCCAUGAUGCAACAGACACCAUGCUACUCCUUUGCACCGCCAAACACCAGCUUGAAUUCACCCAGUCCAAAUUACCAAAAAUAUACCUAUGGCCAAUCCAGCAUGAGCCCCUUGCCCCAGAUGUCAAUGCAAACACUUCAGGACAAUAAAUCGAGCUAUGGAGGUAUGAAUCAGUAUAAUUGUGCACCAGGACUCUUGAAGGAGUUACUUACUUCUGAUUCUCCUCCCCAUAAUGACAUUAUGGCGCCAGUUGAUCCUGGGGUGGCUCAACCUAACAGUAGGGUCCUGGGCCAGAAUGUGUUGAUGGGCCCUAAUCCGGUCAUGCCAAGCUAUGGCAGCCAGGCAUCUCAUAACAAAAUGAUGAAUCCCAGCUCCCAUUCCCACCCUGGACAUGCUCAGCCAACAUCUGUAGUUAAUGGGCGUGCCUUGCCCCACACAGUAAACACCAUGCCCCACACCUCGGGCAUGAACCGCCUGGCCCCAGUGAAGACAGCUUUACAAGUGCCUCUCCCUCACCCCAUGCAGAUGAACGCCCUUGGGGGCUAUUCUUCCAUGAGCAGCUGCAACGGCUAUGGCAGGAUGGGCAUUCUCCACCAGGAGAAGCUCCCGAGUGACUUGGACGGCAUGUUUAUUGAGCGCUUGGACUGUGACAUGGAAUCCAUCAUUCGGAACGACCUCAUGGAUGGAGAUACUUUGGAUUUUAAUUUUGACAAUGUGUUGCCCAACCAAAGCUUCCCACAUAGUGUCAAGACGACAACACAUAGCUGGGUGUCAGGCUAGGAGUGAGUUAUUGAGCAGGUAAGAUUACCCCACUAUCAAAAGACUUGCAAACAGAACUUAAAAGAGAGGAAUACUAUAACUUGCCAUCUAUCUUCCAUGGUUAAGACUUUCUAAAGGUCAACUAGCUACCUCUUGCAAAGAGGCUACACUUAAAAGUACUUCAGAUUGUCUGACAGCAAGAACUAAGAAGUCCAAAGAUGUCCUUCAUCCCGUCUUCUCAUUUUCUUGAUUAAAAAAAAAACACACACACCAAAAACCUUUUUUUAUUUUAUUUUUCUUUCGUCAGACUUGGCAGCAAAGACACUUUUCCUGUACAGGAUGUUUGCCCAACGUUUGCAGGUUAUGUGCUGCUGUAGAUAAGGACUGUGCCAUUGGAAAUUUCAUUACAAUCAAGUGCCAAACUCACUACACCAUAUAACUGCAGAAAAGACUUUCGGAUCCUGGUGUGCUUUCAAGUUUUGUAUAUAAGCAGUAGCUAUAGAAUUGUAUUUGUGUGUGUUUUGUUUUUUUAAGUAUAUCCAUUUGGUCCAAGGAAAGUUUAUACUCUUUUUGUAAUCUGUGAUGGUCUCCUGUCCUUGAUAAGUUAAACUUUUGUUUGUACUACCUGUGUUCUGCUGGACUGAUGAAUCACAGAGAAUCAAACUCUCCAUUCUGCACCUUCAUUGAACAGCUUUGAACCUGUUCAUUUUGCCACAUAAUUCCAUGAGAACCAGUAAUCUGUCAUCAAUCUGCUGAAUUAAUGGACUUGUCAAACUCUUUUGAAAAAAAAAAAAAAAAAGAGUAAACACCAGCCUUGUACAGGUUUUUUCUAUUUUUUUUUUUUUUUGGUUUAUUUUGUUAUUUGCAAAUUUGUACAAACAUAUAAAUGGUUCUAAUUUCCAGAUAAAUGAUUUUUGAUGUUAUUGUUGGGACUUGAGAUCAUUUUUGGAAUAGAUAUUGAACUGUAAUGUUUUCUUAAACCUAGAGUCUACUUUAUUACAGUAUACUUGUAAAUUUGUAGAAUUCCAGAUAUUUGAGACAGCAUCAAUAAUUUUCAUUUUGUAUUCUAACUGGAUUAGUACUAAUUUUGUACGUGCUUAACUGGUUUGUACACUUUGGGAUGCUGCUUGGUGAUAUUUCUGACUAAUCUUCAAAUCAUUGUAAUUAGUACUUGCAUACUCAAUGUUUCUGGCCCUAUUUUGGCAGGAGAGUGAUGCACAGUUUAAGGACAUUUUACGUUUCAUGUUUAGGAGAACUUGAUAUGUUUUUGUGUAUGUAUUUUAAAGAAAUUACAUCUGCUAUUACUCUGUGAACUAAGCAUACUGCAUAGCAUUGAGUCUUCUAAUAGAUACCUGUCUGCCUAUCGUGGCAGUUACUCCUAGACCUUGUAAUGUUUGUAGGUCAGAAAGGGAGAUCUGCAUCUAACACAGUACUCCUUUCUCAAACUGGGGCUUUUAACCUACAGCCAUUUUAAGCUGAGCUUCAACAAAUGUUUCCCCUCAUAAUUCUGUGCUUCUGUGUUGGUCUAGGAGGUGGAGGUUGGUUUAUAGUUCUGCCUUGAAGGGGUAUGGUAACACUUCAUGAUUCUUUCCCUUUGUCUUGCAGAUUACAUAGCACACUAUGGAGAGAGUAAGUCAAAGUAGGGGAUUUUGAAAUGUGACUUCAGUGACUUGUAGAAUGCUUUGUGUUCGUGAGUACAGAUGGCUACCAAAUGGAAAAGAACCUGUUUAAAAACUGGGGCAAUUAAUUUGAAAAUCAGCAAACCAGAUAUAAGUUUUAUAUUUGAAUUCUUUUAAAAGGCCUUUGCAUAAGAUAAGGAUUUCUUUAGCCUUUAGCAACCUAAACUUUAAUUCUGAUCAUUAGAUUUUAAUAUUUUCCAAUUACCUAUAACUGACAGACCAAGUCAAUUGGCUUUGUGUCUCACUUACAGUGUUGGUAUUUUCAAGACAUGUGGAUGCCUGAAGUCAGCAAAAUAAAAUGAACAGCUGAACAAAAAUGUUCCUCUUGCCUGCUGGAGAAGGUUCUGAUUUCUGUGUACUUAGCCCAGAUCACAUUUGCUUUGUCUUAUCUGUGAUUCGCAUCUCUGUUGGCUUGGUUUUUCAUACACGUUUAACAAGAAUAUAAGUGUCCCUGAUAGAUUUCCUAUAGGAGGCCAGCUCUGUGAUAAGCUUCCCACUGUAACUUCUAUUUUGGAAAUUCAUUAAACAACCACCUCUCUAACCAUCUUCAUUGUUGGACACUCCAAAAUAUGUCUGGUUUUAGAUAUCCUAGUUCCUCUCAGUACUGCCUCCUGCAUAUGGAACAGAACUUGUUGGUGCAGAGUACUUGUGUUUCUGUUACCACUGCUACCACUUCUCCUCCCAUGACAUUACACAGGAGCCUCAAUGACAGUGACUGCUAACAUCACUAUUAGCAUCUUAUUGCUUCACAGUGUGACUUUAAAAAAGAUGUUUCUCCCUCCCAUGUCUGUGUAAAUAUCUUUUUUUUUCUUUCAAAUUUUUCUUUAUGUUGGAAUUCUGACAUGAAUCCUGGGUAGCUAGCUCUCUGGGGUACAAUGAACUCCAGUGAAAGGCACCUCGUCUAUUUUGAAAACAUUAUGUGACCUCUGGUGAUUCUUUUUCUGUACGAAUACUGACAUUCUAGAGUAAUUAGUCUAUCAGUUACUGUACAUGAUUGCUUUGUGAAAUGUGCAAAUGAUAUCACCUAUGCAGCCUUGUUUGAUUUAUUUUCCUUGGUUUGUACUGUUAUUAAAAGCAUAUUGUAUUAUAGAGCUAUUCAGAUAAUUUUAAAUAUAAAGUAUUGUUUCUGUAAUAUAGGCGUAUGGAAUAUAUUUAGGUAAUAGAUACAUUACAUGGAAAGUUCGCUUUGACAAACUGACAGUCUAAAUUAAUUAGCAAAUGUUCUAUCCCAGCAAGCAGUGAAUCAACGGGACAUCCCAAGAAGAGAAGAUACUUGAAAUGGAAACAGUUCUCCAAAGGUAUACAUUUAGACUUGCUCAGCUACUGGAUAUAUGCUACCUAGCCCCACGAAAUUUUUACGGUCAGCUCUUAAGAGUUCUUAAUUUAUAACUGACUUUUAAAUGAGAAGUUUCUCUUUUGAUUUUAGUUUGGGAGUAAUCAUUCAGUAGAAAAACACAAUGUGGUUUAUGCAAACAAAGCUGCUGGGUGUGACUCUUGGCCUCCUCCUCGAGGGUGGUGCCCAGCCUGGCAGUGUGGCCAUGUGAGUCCUGUCAGGAUGUAGUCAUGCUCUCCUGAAUUUUGCUACUUGAGUUUAGUAACAGUGCAGAUUCCAUGUUCCUGUUCCAAUAUUCUGAGAAGUGCCUGAUGAUGCUGAUAUACUUACAGACACAAGAACAAUCUUUGCUAUUAUUGUAUAAAGCCAUAAAUGUACAUACAUUGUGUUUAAAUGGUUUGGUGUCUUUCUUUCCUAAUUGUGCAGAAUAAGCUCUUUAUUGGGAUUAAAAGUGUUUUGCUAUCA